rnacentral:rRNA from 1 species
GGAGGAUCCAAGCGUUAUCCGGAAUCAUUGGRUUUAAAGGGUCCGUAGGCGGUUUGAUAAGUCAGURGUGAAAGCCCAUNGCUCAACSAUGGAACGGCCAUUGAUACUGUCAGACUUGAAUUAUUGGGAAGUAACUAGGAAUAUGUAGUGUAGCGGUGAAAUGCUUAGAUAUUACAUGGGAAUACCAAUUGCGAAGGCAGGUUACUACCAAUGGAUUGACGCUGAUGRACGAAAGCGUGGGGAGCRAACAGGAUUAGAUACCCUGGUAGUCCACGCCGUAAACGAUGGAUACUAGCUGUUCGGAGCAAUCUGAGUGGCUAAGCGAAAGUGAUAAGUAUCCCACCUGGGGAGUACGUUCGCAAGAAUGAAAC